rnacentral:rRNA from 1 species
UACGUAGGGCGCAAGCGUUAUCCGGAAUUAUUGGGCGUAAAGAGCUCGUAGGCGGUUUGUCGCGUCUGCUGUGAAAACCUAAGGCUCAACCUUGGGCUUGCAGUGGGUACGGGCAGACUAGAGUGCGGUAGGGGUGACUGGAAUUCCUGGUGUAGCGGUGGAAUGCGCAGAUAUCAGGAGGAACACCGAUGGCGAAGGCAGGUCACUGGGCCGCAACUGACGCUGAGGAAGCGGAAAGCAUGGGGAGCGAACAGG